GACGUAGGGGGCGAGCGUUGUCCGGAUUUAUUGGGCGUAAAGCGUGCGUAGGCGGCUGCGCAAGUCGGUUGUGAAACCCCGGGGCUCAACCCCGGAACUGCAUCCGAUACUGCGUGGCUAGAGGUAGGUAGGGGAGAUCGGAAUGCCUGGUGUAGUGGUGAAAUGCGUAGAGAUCAGGCAGAACACCUGGGGCGAAGGCGGCCGGCUGGGCCGUCCCUGACGCUGAGGCGCGAAGGCGUGGGGAGCGAACGGG
rnacentral:rRNA from 1 species